GCGGAUGUAGCUCAGUUGGUAGAGCCCCGGAUUGUGAUUCCGGUUGUCGCGGGUUCAAUCCCCGUCAUUCGCCCCA
rnacentral:tRNA from 7 species